UGCGUAGGCGGAACUUUAAGUCAGUGGUGAAAUCCUGCGGCUCAACCGUAGAACUGCCAUUGAUACUGAUGUUCUUGAAUGCAGUUGAGGUAGGCGGAAUGUGUAAUGUAGCGGUGAAAUGCUUAGAUAUUACACAGAACACCGAUUGCGAAGGCAGCUUGCUAAACUGUGAUUGACGCUGAUGCACGAAAGCGUGGGGAGCGAACAGGAUUAGAUACCCUGGUAGUC
rnacentral:rRNA from 1 species